GGUUGGCCAAGCAGUUACUUACCUGGAGUGGAAAGUUGGUAUUCCGGAAAGUUGGUGUUAUGAGGUUGUCGACUUUUUCGUCUCAGCAUUAUGAAAGUCAGGAUUAAAAAAAAUGGAAUGUCAUCACUUUCUGCAGCUCCGUUAUUAGAAAGGCUUUCUAGGACCCAUUUAGCGUCACGCUUCAGAAUGUCUGCCACCAGGACAUAGAAAAUGCCUUAUAUUUAUAAAUGAGAGAAUGGUGAAAUGACUAACAACAUUGUCAAGAUGAGACAUUACAGAAGAUGAAAAGUUAUCCAUCACACCAAAGCUGACAUUUGACUACUUUGAAAUAUAAUCUAUAACACAGAGCAUACUGAUGUUGAUGAUUUCCAGCUGAUAUUGACACUGAAGGGUGUGUUAACCACCAAUGAUGACAGCAUCAUUAAACUAUCCAUCACAUGCACCACAACAUCAUGGUCCUACAUAGGCAGCAGAUAUAAUAUAGCAGUUCCAUUGUCACAAACAGGUUGCAGCCCCAUCAAAACAUGGGCGCAAGGGCACAGAGUCAGUGUGGGGAUCCCUGCUGGUAUUGCCACAGACAGCUUGGUGCUUGCUGCCAUGUCCAACUAAGUGCACUCAGUAGAGCAGCACUCUAUGAUGCAACAGACACAGGCAUGCCCAUAACAUCUACUACUGUAGAUCAGUCUGUGCCAGAUGCAAAAGCAUCCAUUGCUGAUCACUGAGCAUUCAAUAUAUAUGUUAGAAAGUGAUUAAUGCAUGGGGAAAUACACAUCUGGUCUAUCAGAACUACAUUUUGCCAGACUUGAGUAGAGCUGAUGCCUGCUACAGACUGUCUUUCAUCAGCAUUGCUAAAUUCAGCCAUGUUCAUUUAGGUGACAACUCUGGGCAUGUUUCAUGGUGCUGCACCUGCUGAUAUGACUCUGCUGCUGCUCUCUGUUCACAAAGAUUGUGAGAGAAUGCAGGGAUCUACAAAUGUAAGAUAUGAUGCUGCUAUUCAACACACACCUGUAUUGAUAGCUUUAGUUGUCUUGACCUCUACUUUACAAGCUUCCUAGAGAAUGUGCUGCUUUAUUUAAGGAAAAUAUAUUACUCCCUGUGCUGCUAAGACAUGGCAUGGCAGACAAAUAGCUGUAACAUAUGCACGUAAGUCUUUAAAUAUUGCAUUCGCCUUAUUUAGAGUCCAUUCAGAUGCAUGUGUGUACAUACAUACACACCUGGUUUGUUAUUGAACAGCUAAGCACUAUCACAUUGUGAAAUAAACUUAUGAUUACAUUAUAUAAUUAAAGAAGUGAACCAAAGACUGUGGGUUUAGUAAGUUAUAUGACUUACUAGGAAAAGACAGUCAAGUGUGAAAUCAAAAUGAUGGGAUGAGAGGCAGGUUGCUACAAAAAAAACAAGUUUAACACUAACUAAAGUAAUUAAUAUAUGUAGAGUGAGCAAAUACUUCAUAUAAGCUGAAAGAACUUACAGAUGAAUUAGAACUAUGCAAAUCUGCAUAUGAAACAAAAGAAAUGAAAAUGAGUGAAAAUAAAAGAAAAAUAAAUUACAAGAACUACAGGAAGCAUGAAAACCAUUGAAGCAUCGUUAACAAGCUUUGCAUGAUGUAAUAUUAUAAGCAUGAUAAAAGGAAUGACCUGCAUUGAUUCAAGUGUGUAGAAGUUGUAGCAAGAGAAAUCAUGUUGCUAAAACAUGCAAAAUGGAAGAAACAAGCCUUCAGUCAAUAAGAAGGAAUACUGUGAGAAACUGUUAUGAGUUUAUGGUACAGUAAAGACUGGGAAGGUGCAUAAAAAGUGAUAAAAAAUAAUUGAAAGCAAAGAAUCAUCCAUAAAUCCAAGAAAAGAGGCUAAAAAUAAUAAUCAGUUUAAACACACAGGUGAAAAAAUGACAUUAGAAAUAGUCACAUGCAUAAAAUAAAGUUGCAGCUAUUCAGAUGUGGUAAACAAUGAAUCUCAUUCUGAAAAGGAGAACACUGAAGCCAUUAAUAUUUUAAGUUUGCGCUAUUUCAGCUCAUAGUGUAAAGCUAUUGGGGUAGAAAGUGAUACCUAAUGAACAGAUUAUACACUUUGAGGCAGCUGUUAUGGACGCUUCUGCAAACUGAAUUGUUUGAGUUGUGUGAAGCAAGGUAUGGUGAAAAGGAAUCAUACAGAGCACUGCAGAGUAAUGAUUUGUUUUCAAGGAUGAAUAUUUUAUAUCAUGAUCUGGUCUGUUUGCUAGGAGUUCUUCAUAUUUAGAAAGAUCCCUUUGUAUUGCCAGUAGUGCAUGAUUCAAGCAAAGUUCUAGCAGCCCUGAGGAGUAGAAAAAUAAGUCACUGAAAUUUGCAGGGAAGUGACUAUAGCUAAGAAAUAGAAUAAACCUAAUGAAUGGAUGAAUUGAAUUGUUACAUUUAUAUAUUCUAAUAAAACAGGUACAUGUAUAGCCUCAUAACAGCUAAAUAAAGCUAUAAAGAAUAAAUUUCCUGUUGACGCAAAUAAAGAAGUGAUUUAUGCUCUGCCAGAUGUGAAGUAUGCUUGCUUGUUUAAUGCUUACUAUGGAUUUUGUUAA